AUGGGGGUGCAAGUGGUGCCGAGGUGGAACUUUUGCAGCGAUCAUGGAGAGCCUCGGGGCUGCAUCUCGGCGAUCCAACGACAGGAAGCGGUCACGGUCUUGGCGACGGCGUACAACAGAGAGCGGAGAGGUGCUCAGGGAAACCGGAGCAGAGCAAGGUCCGAGGCGAGUUGGGGGGGAGGCGCUCCUGGUCGCAGCGGCGCGGCGCCGGAGCAUGGGCUCGUCGGCCGGAGCGGCACGCGGCCACGGAGGAGAGGGAGGACGCGGCGGCCAGAGGGGUUGCCAGCGCGAGCGUGCGAGGGGGCUGGCGGCGCGAGGUGGAGGAGAGGAGCGCUGGUCGUCGACGAGGACGACGAGGAGGUCCGGCGGUGCAUGAGAAGAGCAGCAGCAGAGCAGCUCGGGCGCAGAGGCUGCUGCUCGCCUGAGUUGAUGGCCAGCGCGGCGGCAUGGGAAGGAGGAGCGGGUGAGGAGGUGGCUGAGGCAUGGAGGAAAGAGGCAUGGGAGCAGGCGGGGCUUCGCGAGGAGGACGAGAGGGAGCGGGGGAAGGAGAGGCCGACGCAGUGGAGAUGGGGAUCGAGCAGGGCUCUCCCUGGUGCGAUGUGUGAGUGUGUGGCGGCGCGAGGGGACGAGGAGGAGGGGUGCAGGGAUCGCUAG
rnacentral:rRNA from 1 species